UUAAUACUCACAAUACAAUAUUUGUGAUCCUUCGAAGGGCAAUCAAUCAACUCCAUAUAGGUGGAGUUUAUACAGGGUGUGAUGGAACCAACCCCAUCAUUGUACAGCCCGCACUUGAGGCAUUGCAGUGCCAUGCUGGAACCAAUCGCCACUCCUAACACCAUCAACGAUAACAGGAAGCCACUUUUACCCAUUGUGAUUCGAUGGAAACUUUUCAAGAUAAGUUUAUAAACUUUUUUGUCCCAGUUAUUUAUAUUAUGAUAAUGUCUAUAAGUUUUUAAGGGUAAUUUUAUUGUUUGUUGGCGUAUAAACUUUUCGCUGUCCGUUGGAUAAUCUUAGCAGGAAAAUUUCACAAACGCGCAAAGUCGACAAAGUGACAGCAGGGUAGUAGCGCACCGGCCGCGGGUUGUACGACAACUAAGUUUUCGGAUGCGCCCGAAAUCGCGCGCUUCAACUUUGCGCGCCCGCCCGCGCAUACCAAGCCGCCUCCGAUAUACUAUCAAAACGGGGCUACUCACAGCUGCGGCAAACUGUAAGGGAUACACGCCCACUUCUACACAAUUCAUGAAGAACAAGUAAAAUCAAGGCCCAAUUGCUGGAAAUUCUCAAAAAUUGUCUACGAGUAUAAACUCGAUUCGUCUGAUCUCGUGUGGUGUUUAGCAGAAUACACCAGUAUAAGACGAUAAAAUUCUACAGAAACCUACAGCUCCUUAGGUUGCAGGUAUUCUCAGUUAGCUUCGACAUCGCUAGCUGGCGCCACUUAUAUUAACAUCGCCGCGGAUAACGGACGCUACCUUACGCCAAAUUUCAACCAAAAAAUGAAAAUGCCCCUUUUGUGUUUUCGAUCCUCUAAUUUUUGUGGUUUUAGGUGUCUAACGGGCGAACACGAUGUUGUAGGGCAACCGUUUUUAAUCAAAAUUGUAGGUAUUAAAUUUUUUUAUCGAUUUUGUACAUAAUUUGUAGGUGCAUCUUUUGGGAACCCAAUAAAAAUGUACUUUUUGUGUUUUCCGAUCUUCUAAUUUUUUUGAUUUUAGGUGUCUAGCAGGACAACGCGAUGUCGUAGGACAACCGUUUUUACACCUAAUUGUAGGUAUUAAAAUUCUCUAUCGCUUUUGUAUACAAUUUGUGGGUUUAUCCUUUGGAAACUCUAUGAAAUUGCCCCUUUUGUGUUUUUUGAUCUUCUAAUUUUUGUGGUUUUAGGUGUCUACCGGGCGAACGCGAUGUUGUAGGACAACCUUUUUUACAGUAAACUAUAGGUUUCUAGCGGGCAAAAGCGACACCCUAGGACAGCAGUUUUUACACUAAAUUG